rnacentral:rRNA from 1 species
CCUACGGGGAGCAGCAGUGAGGAAUAUUGGUCAAUGGACGAGAGUCUGAACCAGCCAAGUAGCGUGAAGGAUGACUGCCCUAUGGGUUGUAAACUUCUUUUAUAUGGGAAUAAAAUGUUCCACGUGUGGGAUUUUGUAUGUACCAUAUGAAUAAGGAUCGGCUAACUCCGUGCCAGCAGCCGCGGUAAUACGGAGGAUCCGAGCGUUAUCCGGAUUUAUUGGGUUUAAAGGGAGCGUAGGUGGAUUGUUAAGUCAGUUGUGAAAGUUUGCGGGUCAACCGUAAAAUUGCAGUUGAAACUGGCAGUCUUGAGUACAGUAGAGGUGGGCGGAAUUCGUGGUGUAGCGGUGAAAUGCUUAGAUAUCACGAAGAACUCCGAUUGCGAAGGCAGUUCACUGGACUGCAACUGACACUGAGGCUCGAAAGUGUGGGUAUCAAACAGGAUUAGAUACCCUGGUAGUC